rnacentral:rRNA from 1 species
GUAGGGAAUCUUCCACAAUGGGCGAAAGCCUGAUGGAGCAACGCCGCGUGUGUGAUGAAGGGUUUCGGCUCGUAAAACACUGUUGUAAGAGAAGAAUGACAUUGAGAGUAACUGUUCAAUGUGUGACGGUAUCUUACCAGAAAGGAACGGCCAAAUACGUGCCAG